rnacentral:rRNA from 1 species
AUUGAACGCUGGCGGCAGGCCUAACACAUGCAAGUCGAACGGUAACAGGAAGCAGCUUGCUGCUUUGCUGACGAGUGGCGGACGGGUGAGUAAUGUCUGGGAAACUGCCCGAUGGAGGGGGAUAACUACUGGAAACGGUAGCUAAUACCGCAUAACGUCGCAAGACCAAGAGGGGGACCUUAGGGGCUCUUGGCCUUGGAUGUGGCCCGAUGGGGUUAGCUAGUAGGUGGGGUAACGGCUCACCUAGGCGACGAUCCCUAGCUGGUCUGAGAGGAUGACCAGCCACACUGGAACUGAGACACGGUCCAGACUCCUACGGGAGGCAGCAGUGGGGAAUAUUGCACAAUGGGCGCAAGCCUGAUGCAGCCAUGCCGCGUGUAUGAAGAAGGCCUUCGGGUUGUAAAGUACUUUCAGCGGGGAGGAAGGGAGUAAAGUUAAUACCUUUGCUCAUUGACGUUACCCGCAGAAGAAGCACCGGCUAACUCCGUG